rnacentral:RNase_P_RNA from 1 species
AUACGCUGACAAUCGCUGCCGACUAGAGCGGUAGAGGAAAGUCCAUGCUCGCAUGAUCUGAGAUGAUCAUAGUGUUUGUGCUAGUUGAAUCAAUAAGACUAGGCAGGAGUGAUCCUGAUGGCUGAAGCAAGUCCUAAGGGAAACUAUGGAGGAGCUCUUUAAAAGUGCCACAGUGACGGAGUCCUAUUGGAAACAGUAGGAGUGGAACGAGGUAAACCCCACAAGCGAGAAACUCAAAUUUUGGUAGAGGAACUUCUAAGUCCGAAAUGAAGGAUAAGGGAGACACGUAAGUGUAGAUAAAUGGUUGUCGCUAUUUUAUAUAGUUACAGAACAUGGCUUAUAACG